rnacentral:lncRNA from 1 species
UCUGAACAGAGUUGGUGAGAGUGGAGGAGCACAGCUCUCCAUCCCAUUCCCCAGUCUGGUACCAUGUGAGACAGGCAUGUGGCUGUUCAUGGUUGACCUAAUAUUGGGAUCAAACUCACUCUGUGAAAACAGGUAACUUACAGUCUGUUGCUAUUGGAUUCAUUAUGGACCAAUGUGAUAUAUGCCCUGCAGUACACCCUUUUCUAUUCCCCCCUGCCUGUUAUCAUCGUCCACUGCACUGUCCGGCCUAAGUCAAACACUCUAGGGCAGGUGCCUGUUGCUUUGUCUGUAUCAUGCUCUGUUUAUUUUCACUUCAGGUUGUGUCUCUCUUUUUGGAAUUCUCUCACCACUGAGUGACUUCUUCCUUGUGCUGAGGUGCUCUGUUAUGUGUAAUGUGUCUGUGUUAUGUACAUUCUUUUGUUUCCAGUCAGUAAUCUCUGUGGGAAAUGCAGGCCAAUGGACACUGACCUCCUGCAGCCAUCCUUGAAUUUUCUGUACUGGAGCCUUCAUCAGACAACACCUUGUAGUCAACAGAGAGGUGAGGCGAGAUUGUAAAUUGAUUAGCAAUCAAGUUAAUCUCAGUGAGGUUGUAGCUUGGCCAGCAGAGACUGUAUGCUAACUGUCUCAGCAGAUAAGAUGGAUUUUUUCCCCUUUCAGAUGCAUCAUUACAGUUAACAAAGACCAUUUUGUAUUUGGGAUGAGGUUUUUUAGGUUGAAGGUUUUGUUUUGUUUGGUUUUGCUGCCUUCUGUUGAUUCAGGAAUUGGCUGCUGAGAGAGCCACUGUAUUUUUCUUGCUCAUAAAACACAGCAGUGGGGCUUUGGUGCCUUGUUUGAAAUGUCUUGGCAUUGACAUGAUUCAAAAAAUUAAGCAGUAAUAGAGAACAGCUCUAACCAGCCUUCUAGCUGAGUUAGCUGAAGGCUGGUCAUUUUAUUAGAUGGCCAAUUGGUCGCUUGUGCUGUGGGAGAUGAAUACCAGUGUAGAUGGACAGCUUUAGUCUGAUGAGCCAUAGCAGCUGGGGCUGCCUCACUGCAGCAGGGGUGUUCUCUGCACCUCUAUACUGCUGGUCAAGCUGGUUUAAUCUGUGCCAUCCCAUCAGACUCUCUCAUUAUGUUUCUCCCACACAGCAGUGGCUGUGCUGCUCUCCAACGUGUCCUUGCUACAGAUCCUGCAGAAGGUUUUGGAACACACCUGGUUUCGGUCCCCUCGCUCUGAACCUGUUUACCUGUCAUCUGAGGAUGCCUUGCUGUGCUCUGGAUGGCUGUUGGUUGCAUCACUCUUACUGUAUCAGCAUCGCUACAAUACUGAGGUUCACCAGACACUCUCUCUAG